rnacentral:rRNA from 1 species
AAUGAACGCUGGCGGCGUGCCUAACACAUGCAAGUCGCACGAGAAAGUCCCAGCUUGCUGGGGCAAGUAAAGUGGCGCACGGGUGAGUAACGCGUGGGUAAUCUACCUCCGAAUUGGGGAUAACACUGCGAAAGCGGUGCUAAUACCGAAUGACAUCCCCGGGACCCCGGUCCUGGUGAUCAAAGGUGGCCUCUACAUGUAAGCUAGCGUUUGGAGAUGAGCCCGCGUACCAUUAGCUAGUUGGUAGGGUAACGGCCUACCAAGGCUGCGAUGGUGAGCUGGUCUGAGAGGAUGAUCAGCCACACUGGAACUGACACACGGUCCAGACUCCUACGGGAGGCAGCAGUGAGGAAUUUUGCGCAAUGGGGGAAACCCUGACGCAGCAACGCCGCGUGAGUGAUGAAGGCUUUCGGGUCGUAAAGCUCUGUCAAGUGGGAAGAACCUGCUUUGUGAUAAUACCACGAAGCACUGACGGUACCACUGAAGGAAGCACCGGCUAACUCCGUGCCAGCCGCCGCCGUAACAC